UUGUAGCUAUGAUGUUGGCCCGGCUCACUCAGAAGAGAGUGCAUGAAUCUGAUGCAGUCUCAGUGUAAUGCUCCAUGCUAGAACUUCUGAUUGAGCCGUGCCAAUAUCUCAGCACCAUUU
rfam:Oryza punctata chromosome 10, whole genome shotgun sequence.